ACUCUGCCCUGACCUGGUGGCACUUAGGGCUUUGAGUUGCUGCCCUGCACCCCUGGUCCCUGAGUGGCCUAUCCUGCACUCCUGGUCUCUGAGCUUUGGGCAUGCUCCUGCUAACAUAAGUGGUUGCCAUGACAUCCCUCAGUUGUUCGUCUGUGAUAAGGUUGAGAGAAACAGCUGGAGGUAGGGCUUUCCUUCUAGGUCCAUUAUAUUGUAUGUUUCUGUGAGAAGAAAAGAUGUUUGAGGCAUUCUAGUAGAAUGAACAGAAGAGAAGAAAAAGAGUAAAGGUAAAUUACAGCAGAGAUUCUUUGGAAAUUAUUAAAAUUAACAUUAUUUAAUUUAAAUAAUUUCAAAAUGUUGAAUUAAUAAUUUUAAUUAUAAUUUAUAGUUAUAAUUAUAUGUAGUUACAUUUACGUAACUAAUAUAUAAUACUUAUAAUUUUAAUUAAUUUUAAAUAAUUAUUUAAAAUAGAAUUAACACUAAUAAAAGCUAUAUUAUUAACAAAA